rnacentral:lncRNA from 1 species
UUCUUCUCACUUCUUAACAUUCUUUAUGUAUCUCUAGCACUUGUGAACAAUCAAAUUCAUUGUAUUAUAACAUAUUCUAACCCAAAAUAACUUUAUACAAGCCAUUCACUGCCUCAAAGCAAUGGUUUUGGGUUCUUAUCCCAUUUGUGACCAAAUAUCAACAACUCUUUGUUCUCACUUUUAAACAUUCUUCAUGCAUCUCUAGCACUUGUAAUCAAUCAAACUCAUUGUAUUAUAACAUAUUCAAACCCAAAAUAACUUUAUACAAGCCAUUCACUGCCUCAAAGCAAUGGUUUUGGGUUCUUAUCCCAUUUGUGAC